AUUGAACGCUGGCGGCAGGCCUAACACAUGCAAGUCGAGCGGAUGAAGGGAGCUUGCUCCUGGAUUCAGCGGCGGACGGGUGAGUAAUGCCUAGGAAUCUGCCUGGUAGUGGGGGAUAACGUCCGGAAACGGGCGCUAAUACCGCAUACGUCCUGAGGGAGAAAGUGGGGGAUCUUCGGACCUCACGCUAUCAGAUGAGCCUAGGUCGGAUUAGCUAGUUGGUGGGGUAAAGGCCUACCAAGGCGACGAUCCGUAACUGGUCUGAGAGGAUGAUCAGUCACACUGGAACAGAGACAGGGCCCGACCUCCUAGGGAGGGCGCAAGGGGGAAAUUUGGGAAAAGGGGGGAAGGCUGGACCAGGCAAGCCGGGGUGGGGAAAAAGGGUCUGGGGUUUGAAAAGCAGUUUAAGUGGGGAGAAAGGGAAUAAAGUUAUUACCUUGUUGUUUUGACGUAACAAAAAAAAAAAGCCCCGGCUAACUUCGUG
rnacentral:rRNA from 1 species